AUUAUCAGCAAUAGCGUAUCAUUUUACGUUAUGAGAACGUGUUUCAUGUUAUAGCCGAUACUAUUUUCGUAAAUAAUGACAUAUUUUAUAUUAACACAAAAUCGCCAUUUCUACACAGCCCAUUUUUUCACGAAAAAAACGUCACAAAACAAAAUACCUAGUUACGCAAUUAAUUUAUUUUCAGCAACAACGUCACAUAUUGUGUUGCGCAAAUUAUGAGGAACUAAAAUUUUUCAACAGUAUAGUCACAACGCAAAAUAAUACUAUUUACAUGAAAAUUAGCAACAUGAAAAAUAUAACUACCUUUUCACAUAAAUCGCUGUAACACAAAAUAUAUCGUAUUUCGUAAAAACUAAUAAUCUUUACACGACGACGACUCAUGUUCAACUGAAAUGUGUCGAUGCUGUAGCAAAAAUUUGACGCGUCACAACAAGUGGAAAAACGGCACUUUUUCAUCUCACGCGCUUAAUUUUCUACUAAUCACAGAGAAUUGUUUAUACAAUAUUAACCAUGAUAUUGAGCACAUUUUUUUGUAUUUAACUCAAAAAUGAGUUUUUUGAGUUAUGACACUGUUGAAGUAAAUGAGCGAUAUUAAAAAAUGUAAUGAAACCAAAAGUAGUAAACGCUAUAAAAAUAGACGAACAAUUAUUAAUGUAUUUUAGGUCGAAAAUGACAUUAUCAAUACAUUUCUCAAUGCCGCUCUCGUUCUAACUCAUAACAUGGUUGACGACAUAACCGACAUCGAACAACAAAAACAAAUUAUAAAUGACACACAUAGACGUGCACACAGAAACUACAAAAAUGAUGCACAAGAAAUUUUCUUAAAAUAUUACUGGCCAAACAUAUGUAACGCUUGUAAAAAAGAAGUACAAGACUGUGAAAUCUGUCUCACAAACAAAUACAAACGUCGACCAAACAAACAACCAAUUGGUUCCGCACCAACGCCAAACAAAGUAGGCGAAUACAUACACUUAUGUCGGUAUUCUGCGAGCAAUCUCAAGUCUCUAAUAGAGACGAAUCUGUGGUGAAAUCUAUUUAGUGACUGUUUGGUAUUCUGGCGAGUUUGUCUCAUCUCUAAUUGUGCAAUAUCAGUCUCUAACUUGUUAUAUGCUUUGCACCAAGUCAUAGAAAAACAAGAGCAAAACAAUGGCUGAUGAAGUUGGACUAUUUUACCUCAUGAUGAAAAAACGAGAGAAGGAAGAGAGCUACAUUCGCAGGUGCAAUCUGACUGUUUUGCGAAACAAAAAAGAUCCGUUUUUAUACGAAGAGAACUUCCUGAAUGUUCUUCCGAUUUCCCAAAUCUUUGUUCUGGGAUCUCAUUAAUCAACUCAAGCCGUAUGACCAACAACAAACAUCGAUUCCAUUUGAACUUCGGUUUAUUUCAGUUUUAUAUUUUUUAUGCAAUGGCUCAUAUUAGUGUUGCGUGGGAAAUGCAUAUUUCGCGGUGAUGAAUAUAUUUGUAAAUUGGUGGUGGAGCGUAAACACGGCGAAGUGCGUUUUCCUAAUUCUGUUGAAGAAUACAAUAGAAUUAAGACUGGAUUUUAUUCAAAAUUUGGAAUAAAGGGUGUAAUUGGAGCAAUUGAAUGCACUCAUGUUGGCAUAAUUGCACCUGCCUUGUACCGCAUGAUUAUAUGAACAGAAAAGGUUUGUGACGAUGAACUAAUUUUCCGGCACGUGAAUGCAAAAUUUCCCGGCUCAUGUCAUGACUCCGGUAUAUGGACUACUUCGCCAGCAAGGAUAAAGCUAAUAAGAGAACACUCUGAUGGAGCUUUUAAAUGGCUUUUGGGUGAUUCGGGAUAUCCAUUGGAGCCAUGGCUUCUUACACCGGUGGCAAACCCUGAAACACCAAAUGAACAAAAUUUCAAGACUAGGUACAUAAGAGCAAGAAACACGAUUGAAAGAGCAUGUGGAGUUUUAAAAUAACGCUUUCGUUGCAUUUCAAGAGAACGUACAUUGCGGUAUAAGCAUUCCAAAGCUGAAUUAUUUGUUUAUACUUGAACAAUAUUUCACAAUAUUUUACAAAAACAUGGUAUUUUUUUAAAUGAAACCGAAAUAUUGCCAGAUCGAUCACCUCCUGAAAAUGUGGGAGCAAUCUCUGAAAUCCAUUCGGGGGAGUAUUACACUCGAGGCAGAGCAGCACGUCAAAG